rnacentral:rRNA from 1 species
CCUACGGGAGGCAGCAGUGGGGAAUAUUGCACAAUGGGGGACACCCUGAUGCAGCGACGCCGCGUGGGUGAGGAAGUAUUUCGGUAUGUACAGCUCUAUCCUCAGAGAAGAAACUGACGGUACCUGACUAAGAAGCCCCGGCUAACUACGUGCCAGCAGCCGCGGUAAUACGUAGGGUGCAAGCGUUAUCCGGAUUUACUGGGUGUAAAGGGAGCGUAGACGGCUAAGCAAGUCAGAUGUGAAAACCCAGGGCUCAACCUUUGGACUGCUUUUGAAACUGAGUAGCUAGAGUGCAGGAGAGGUAAGUGGAAUUCCUAGUGUAGGGGUGAAAUGCGUAGAGAUUAGGAGGAACACCAGUGGCGAAGGCGACCUACUGGAAUAUAACGGACGUUGAGGCUCGAAAGCGUGGGGAGCAAACAGGAUUAGAUACCCGGGUAGUC